UGGGGAAUAUUGGACAAUGGGCGAAAGCCUGCUCCAGCCAUGCCGCGUGUGUGAAGAAGGUCUUCGGAUUGUAAAGCACUUUAAGUCGGGAGGAAGGGCAGUAAGCGAAUACCUUGCUGUUUUGACGUUACCGACAGAAUAAGCACCGGCUAACUCUGUGCCAGCAGCCGCGGUCAUACAGAGGGUGUAAGCGUUAAUCGGAAUUACUGGGCGUAAAGCGGGCGUAGGUGGCUCGUUAAGUGGAAUGUGAAAGCCCCGGGCUCAACCAGGGAACUGCAUCCAAAACUGGCGAGCUAGAGAAGGGCAGAGGGUGGUGGAAUUUCCUGUGUAGCGGUGAAAUGCGUAGAUAUAGGAAGGAACACCAGUGGCGAAGGCGACCACCUGAGCUCAUACUGACACUGAGGUGCGAAAGCGUGGGGAGCAAACAGG
rnacentral:rRNA from 1 species